UAGGGAAUCUUCGGCAAUGGACGAAAGUCUGACCGAGCAACGCCGCGUGAGUGAAGAAGGUUUUCGGAUCGUAAAACUCUGUUGUUAGAGAAGAACAAGGACGUUAGUAACUGAACGUCCCCUGACGGUAUCUAACCAGAAAGCCACGGCUAACUACGUGCCAGCAGCCGCGGUAAUACGUAGGUGGCAAGCGUUGUCCGGAUUUAUUGGGCGUAAAGCGCACGCAGGCGGUUUGUUAAGUCAGAUGUGAAAUCCCCGGGCUUAACCCGGGAAUUGCAUCUGAUACUGGUCAGCUAGAGUCUUGUAGAGGGGGGUAGAAUUCCAUGUGUAGCGGUGAAAUGCGUAGAGAUGUGGAGGAAUACCGGUGGCGAAGGCGGCCCCCUGGACAAAGACUGACGCUCAGGUGCGAAAGCGUGGGGAGCAAACAGG
rnacentral:rRNA from 1 species